CGGUGGAAUGUGUAGAUAUCGGGAAGAACACCAAUGGCGAAGGCAGGUCUCUGGGCCGUUACUGACGCUGAGGAGCGAAAGCGUGGGGAGCGAACAGGAUUAGAUACCCUGGUAGUCCACGCCGUAAACGGUGGAUGCUGGAUGUGGGGCCCGUUCCACGGGUUCCGUGUCGGAGCUAACGCGUUAAGCAUCCCGCCUGGGGAGUACGGCCGCAAGGCUAAAACUCAAAGAAAUUGACGGGGGCCCGCACAAGCGGCGGAGCAUGCGGAUUAAUUCGAUGCAACGCGAAGAACCUUACCUGGGCUUGACAUGUUCCCGACGAUCCCAGAGAUGGGGUUUCCCUUCGGGGCGGGUUCACAGGUGGUGCAUGGUCGUCGUCAGCUCGUGUCGUGAGAUGUUGGGUUAAGUCCCGCAACGAGCGCAACCCUCGCCCCGUGUUGCCAGCGGAUUAUGCCGGGAACUCACGGGGGACCGCCGGGGUUAACUCGGAGGAAGGUGGGGAUGACGUCAGAUCAUCAUGCCCCUUACGUCCAGGGCUUCACGCAUGCUACAAUGGCCGGUACAACGGGAUGCGACAGUGCGAGCUGGAGCGGAUCCCUGAAAACCGGUCUCAGUUCGGAUCGCAGUCUGCAACUCGACUGCGUGAAGGCGGAGUCGCUAGUAAUCGCGAAUCAGCAACGUCGCGGUGAAUGCGUUCCCGGGCCUUGUACACACCGCCCGUCAAGUCAUGAAAGUGGGCAGCACCC
rnacentral:rRNA from 1 species